rnacentral:rRNA from 1 species
UAUUGGCCAAUGGUCGGGAGACUGAACCAGCCAAGCCGCGCGAGGGAGGAAGGGACAGAGUAUCGUAAACCUCUUUUGUCAGGGAACAAAGGCGGGGACGCGUCCCCGGAUGAGUGUACCUGAAGAAAAAGCAUCGGCUAACUCCGUGCCAGCAGCCGCGGUAAGACGGAGGAUGCGAGCGUUAUCCGGAUUUAUUGGGUAUAAAGGGUGCGCAGGCGGCGCGUUAAGUCAGCGGUAAAAUUUCGGGGCUCAACCCCGACGAGCCGUUGAAACUGGCGUGCUAGAGUGGGCGAGAAGUAUGCGGAAUGCGUGGUGUAGCGGUGAAAUGCAUAGAUAUCACGCAGAACUCCGAUUGCGAAGGCAGCAUACCGGCGCCCGACUGACGCUCAUGCACGAAAGCGUGGGUAUCG